rnacentral:rRNA from 1 species
AAGAGCUCAAAUUUGAAAUCUGGCUCCUUCGGGGUCCGAGUUGUAAUUUGUAGAAGAUGCUUCGGGUGUGGCUCCGGUCUAAGUUCCUUGGAACAGGACGUCAUAGAGGGUGAGAAUCCCGUAUGUGACUGGGUGCCUACGCCCGUGUGAAGCUCUUUCGACGAGUCGAGUUGUUUGGGAAUGCAGCUCAAAAUGGGUGGUAAAUUUCAUCUAAAGCUAAAUACUGGCCAGAGACCGAUAGCGCACAAGUAGAGUGAUCGAAAGAUGAAAAGCACUUUGGAAAGAGAGUUAAACAGUACGUGAAAUUGUUGAAAGGGAAGCGCUUGCAAUCAGACUUGCGCCCGGGCGAUCAUCUGGGGUUCUCCCCAAGGCACUCGUCCGGGCUCAGGCCAGCAUCAGUUCUCGUGGUGGGAUAAAGGCCCUGGGA